GUAGAUGCGUCCGGUCCCAGACCCGUCUUCAGACCUGUAGGAGGCAAUGCAGGAACUGUUUGGGCCUGACUUUAUCUGAGAGGCUUCACCUGACAGAUUAGGAAGACCUUGGACCACCUUUUCUAAUAGCAGAGCAAGGGGUACAAGUGCCAUCAACAGAGGAUUGGUAGCAAGCAUCUGGAAUGGCUGUAGAAUUUCCAACCAGCUCAGCUGUUUGAAAAUAAAUGUCUGUCCACAGCCUUA